rnacentral:rRNA from 1 species
GUGGGGAAUCUUCCGCAAUGGACGAAAGUCUGACGGAGCAACGCCGCGUGAGUGAUGAAGGUUUUCGGACUGUAAAGCUCUGUUGUUUAGGACGAAAGUGCCUGUUGCAAAUAGUUACAGGUAUUGACGGUACUGAACGAGGAAGCCACGGCUAACUACGUGCCAGCAGCCGCGGUAAUACGUAGGUGGCAAGCGUUGUCCGGAAUUAUUGGGCGUAAAGAGCAUGUAGGCGGGAAUCUAAGUCUGUUGUGAAAAUGCGGGGCUCAACCCCGUAUUGCGAUGGAAACUGGGUUUCUUGAGUGCAGGAGAGGAAAGGGGAAUUCCCAGUGUAGCGGUGAAAUGCGUAGAUAUUGGGAGGAACACCAGUGGCGAAGGCGCCUUUCUGGACUGUGUCUGACGCUGAGAUGCGAAAGCCAGGGUAGCGAACGGGAUUAGAAACCCCGGUAGUCC